GGCAGAACCAGAUCUCCAGCUUCCCACAGCAGCAGCUCUUUAUGGAGUUAAAAGGCACUGUUCUCCUGAAGUGACAGAAGCACACAGAUUGAAAAUGUUGCUGAAAG
rnacentral:lncRNA from 12 species